rnacentral:misc_RNA from 1 species
AAACUUGAUAUUGGUUCGAUAAAUCGCCAGCUUCAUAAAACUGUCGCACGUUGUUUCUUUCAUUGAUCCCUCAGUCCGACAAAGUCUUGAUCGAAUUAUGGCACCCAGCUUUUCGGACAUUGUCGAAGACACCCGCCUUUCCAUCCGGUCUCUGAUCGAUUACGGCGAAAGCCUGUUCAAUCCCACCGUGCGGCUUGGCGUCACAGGCCUGUCACGCGCCGGCAAGACCGUCUUCAUCACCGCGCUCGUUCAUGGCCUGCUGCGCGGCGGGCGC